AACGAACGCUGGCGGCAUGCCUAACACAUGCAAGUCGAACGAAGCCUUCGGGCUUAGUGGCGCACGGGUGCGUAACGCGUGGGAACCUGCCCCUUGGUUCGGAAUAACAGUUAGAAAUGACUGCUAAUACCGGAUGAUGACGAAAGUCCAAAGGUUUAUCGCCGAGGGAUGGGCCCGCGUAGGAUUAGCUAGUUGGUGAGGUAAUGGCUCACCAAGGCGACGAUCCUUAGCUGGUCUGAGAGGAUGAUCAGCCACACUGGGACUGAGACACGGCCCAGACUCCUACGGGAGGCAGCAGUGGGGAAUAUUGGACAAUGGGCGAAAGCCUGAUCCAGCAAUGCCGCGUGAGUGAUGAAGGCCUUAGGGUUGUAAAGCUCUUUACCAGGGAUGAUAAUGACAGUACCUGGAGAAUAAGCUCCGGCUAACUCCGUGCCAGCAGCCGCGGUAA
rnacentral:rRNA from 1 species